GUGAUGAUUAAUGAGAAGCCAAAAAAGUGCAAAUGAAAUCUGAAGUCAAGUGUAAAAGGUGGUCACUCAUGAGAAAUUCAAGAAGAUGAGGGAGAGCUCAAAAGAAGGAAUAAAAAAUUUGGUUCAAUAUAUAUGUUGUGACAAAGUCCAUUGAGACCUAUUUCAGGUUGCAUAUCUGAAUAGUCAUCUUGAGGGAGAUCUUAAAGAGGCUGAUGAGCUAUUCCUAUCUAGAUCAAGAGGUGGAAGGGAGGAUGAGUCUGCUCUUUUCGAGUCAAUUAUGCAGAAAAGAAUUAUACCACCUAUUAGUGCAGAUCUCGUGCUCAAUCAGGCGCCCGAAUAUCUCUUGUGGUUACUCUCAGUGAAAUCAAAUUAUCAACUUGGGAGGAAAAAGGACUCUAUUGUUUUCAAGUCAACUAUGUAGAAAAUGAUUAAUUAUACCAUCCGGUGGUACUAUAGAUCUUGUGUUCAAUCAAGUGCCAGAAUAACUAUCAGAGAAAUCAUCUUAUUAAUUACCACUAAUGGUGUAUUGGAAUAUAAUUAAACUCAGUUGAAUCUCAUCAAUGGAGGCUCGAACGGUUAUCACCAGCCGAAAUUAUUAUCACCAAGUCAGACCCAAGCUUCAACAAUGAUGGAUUUCAAAGCUUUCC